rnacentral:rRNA from 1 species
AACGAACGCUGGCGGCAGGCCUAACACAUGCAAGUCGAGCGCCCCGCCAGGGGAGCGGCGGCCGGGUGAGUAACGCGUGGGAAUAUGCCCUUUGCUACGGAAUAGUCUCGGGAAACUGGGGGUAAUACCGUAUACGCCCUUUGGGGGAAAGAUUUAUCGGCGAAGGAUUAGCCCGCGUUGGAUUAGGUAGUUGGUGGGGUAAUGGCCUACCAAGCCGACGAUCCAUAGCUGGUUUGAGAGGAUGAUCAGCCACACUGGGACUGAGACACGGCCCAGACUCCUACGGGAGGCAGCAGUGGGGAAUCUUAGACAAUGGGGGCAACCCUGAUCUAGCCAUGCCGCGUGAGUGAUGAAGGCCUUAGGGUUGUAAAGCUCUUUCAGCUGGGAAGAUAAUGACGGUACCAGCAGAAGAAGCCCCGGCUAACUCCGUG